rnacentral:rRNA from 1 species
AUUGAACGCUGGCGGCAUGCCUUACACAUGCAAGUCGAACGGUAACAGGUCUUCGGAUGCUGACGAGUGGCGAACGGGUGAGUAAUACAUCGGAACGUGCCCGAUCGUGGGGGAUAACGAAGCGAAAGCUUUGCUAAUACCGCAUAAGAUCUAUGGAUGAAAGCAGGGGACCGCAAGGCCUUGCGCGAACGGAGCGGCCGAUGGCAGAUUAGGUAGUUGGUGGGAUAAAAGCUUACCAAGCCGACGAUCUGUAGCUGGUCUGAGAGGACGACCAGCCACACUGGGACUGAGACACGGCCCAGACUCCUACGGGAGGCAGCAGUGGGGAAUUGUGGACAAUGGGCGAAAGCCUGAUCCAGCAAUGCCGCGUGCAGGAAGAAGGCCUUCGGGUUGUAAACUGCUUUUGUACGGAACGAAACGGUCUGGGUUAAUACCUCGGGCUAAUGACGGUACCGUAAGAAUAAGCACCGGCUAACUACGUGCCAGCCGCCGCAGUAAGAC